UGAAAGCAGCAGGGCCGUCAACGCUCAACUUGUUACUAUGAGAUGUAUCCAAAAUGACAGCUGUCACCUGUCUUUCAACAAAUUCUUACCGGAGAUAUUCUGGGUUCAACAUUUUAAUGGCAAAAGUCCCCUAAAUACUAUUAAACUUUGGUUUGUUAUAACAAGGGAUUGCCAUAAGAGAAAUGGAAUACAUUAAUUGUCCAUCCUCGGCCCAUCUUGGAAAUUAUUAAGCCGUCAAAAGGAACUUGUUUGGAGCUGGCUAUUGCAACGCCCAGUCUAGCGCCCUAGAAUAAGAUGCUUUACCCAGACCGACAGGGAGCAUUCUCCGCGACGGAAGGUAAAAUGAUGCCCAUUCCUACUGAUUUCAAAAAAUGAUGACCUUCAGUAAUAUCCUCUUCAUCAUGUUUUGGCUUUGGCUGGUUCCGUAAUUAAACAUUUUGCAUGUUUAUAAGGCAAAGGGAAAGCCAUCAAGGAAAAAUCAAAAGAGAAUGGAGUUUUCAGUUUUUUAACACAUGUGUGUCUUUUGGUCGAAAGAUGAGCUGUGUGUCAUAAAAUGCGGGGCACGUGAACACAACUAACUCUCUUAUUUCGGGAAACGAGUAAAUAUUUAAAAUAUAUUUAUAUAAUAUAUGGUGAUGGUGAUGGUGAUGUGAGAUGGUGAGAUCUGGCCGCUGUCACGCCUACAAUUUAAAAAAACGUAUUUAACUUUUUUGUAAUAUUUUACUUGUUAUUUCUAUUUUGAUAUCCAAACAACAUUUUCUUUGUUUUUCUCACCAGCUGAGUAACGUUAUCUGAUAGUCGAGGAAAACGAAUAUAGCGUUCUCCCUUGAUUGUUAUGCUAAUGCUUUCUCAUCGAAGUCAUUGCUUCUCCGAGUGUUCCACAGUCCUUCAUUCAUAACUUCCCUGAAAACACCUUUUAACAGGAUGCCGCUUCAACCAAGGACCCUAGCAGCUAUUUUUCUACGAAUUCUAAAAGGAGCGACAACAAGCAAGGGGUGAUAAACAUGGUGGAAGUCUGAAAAGGAUGUUAACCAACAGUUAGUGGCUUUGUGCUCUCUACGCUUUCUGGAAUUUUUGCACGCAAUUAAUUUAAUUUGUAAUCUUUUUUGGGUGCCCGCAAUUUUUGUGUGUAAAAAGCAAACCUUGAAUGUUUUGGCUGCUUACUAUUUGGAAAGGGAAAACUGUGAGCUGAUUUGUAGCGACAAUUUCCAACGAUGAUAUAAGAUGUAAUUGCGGACAGUGAUAAGCAACUCGAUUGCCUUGCUAAAAAACGUAGAUAACUUUUGUAUGUACAUAGAUAGUCCGUAAAAGCAUUAGCUGUAAGCCACCUCUUUUUAACUGCACUAUCACUAAAUAAAAUAAAUAAAUAAAUAUAAAAUAUUAGUUACAAAAUUAUUUAAGUCAUUUGUCCGAUGCUCCGUUAAACAAAUAUUCACAAAACGAUUUUGUUUUUGGUUCGUAUGCAAAAAACCCAAAAAACAAAAUAUAUGCAAAAAAAAUGAUUUUAAUGGAUUAAUAUAUGUAUGCCCGUUACUCGUAGGGUAAAAGGGUAUACUAGAUUCAUUCUUGAUCAGGAUCAAUAGUCGAGUCGAUCUGACCAUGUCCGUCUGCCCAUCCCUAUGAACGCCGAGAUCUCAGGAACUAUAAAAGCUAGUGUUAAGAAAAAAGUUCAGCAUGCAGACAUAGACACAGCGCAGGCUUGUCGAUUCAUUUUGCCACCCCUACUCUAACGCCCACAAACCGCCAAAAGCACGCCCACACUUUUCAAAAAUGUUUUGAUAUUUUUUCACAUAUUUGUUAGUCUCGAUUUCCCAAUAAUCCUUUUGCCCUUCCACUCUAAUGCCUAAUGCCGACAAACCGCCAAAAACUGUUAG